CCCGGGACUCGGUGGGUUUCGCGUCUCCGAUUCAAACGCAGCCACACAAUGAAACAAAAGCUCCCCUCCCCACCCCCGCACACACACACACACACACACGCAUGCUGGAAAGGAGCCCCGCAGAAGCCGGAAGGAACCCGUGGACACCUUGGUGAAGUUUUGAUAAGAUGUAACAACGUCCUGUACAUCAGAGGAGUAGAA